rnacentral:rRNA from 1 species
AUUGAACGCUGGCGGCAUGCUUUACACAUGCAAGUCGAACGGCAGCACGGGGCCAGCUCUGGUAGUGAGUGGCGAACGGGUGAGUAAUACAUCGGAACCUGCCCGGUCGUGGGGGAUAACGUAGCGAAAGUUACGCUAAUACCGCAUACGAUCUGAGGAUGAAAGCGGGGGACCUUCGGACCUCGCGCUAUCGGAGCAGCCUAUGUCAGAUUAGGUAGUUGGUGGGGUAAAGGCCUACCAAGCCGACGAUCUGUAGCUGGUCUGAGAGGACGACCAGCCACACUGGGACUGAGACACGGCCCAGACUCCUACGGGAGGCAGCAGUGGGGAAUGUUGGACAAUGGGCGCAAGCCUGAUCCAGCCAUUCCGCGUGCAGGAAGAAGGCCUUCGGGUUGUAAACUGCUUUUGUACGGAACGAAAAGGAUCUAGCUAAUACCUGGGGCUCAUGACGGUACCGUAAGAAUAAGCACCGGCUAACUACGUG